CUUCUACAUGCAAAGCAAUACUCUGUCACUGAGCUGCGGCCCUUCCCUGCUCCUUGAGAACAAUAUCAGACAACUGACCCCUUUUCUUUAUGACUAAAAGACCUUUGAGCCUGGUAAAAAUUUCAAACUGGCAAUGUUAAUGUAAGAAUUUCCAUAAAAAUGUGUGGAUUUCACUUGGGAAACACAGCUAUGCUAUAAGAGCUCCACAGCGUCGCUAGAAAGAGAAUAUUCACCUCAACAUUUGCCCUGGUAAGGGAAUUACAAAACAGUACUCCAUAAAAUAUUAUUAUUAAUAUUGUUAUUAUUAAUUUUCUUUUUUGCUACUCCAUUAUUGGUUGGCAACACGGUGAAAUAGUCAGGAAAAUCCUCCUGGAAUUUUGUCGCUCUGGAGGUGAAUCCAAUGUUAACAAAGAAAAUUUUUUUUUUCUUUUAGAUACUUAACUGAAGAGAUUAUUAUUACUUUUCCUCAUAAACAAAUCGGUUGGAUGAGAAGUCGUUUGGAAAGCCCUCUGUGACUGCAGUCAUCUGCUGCAAUGCAUCAACUUACGUCUGUCAACACGCGGAGGACCGCCAUGUACACAUAGCGUUUUAGCCAAAAAAAAUGGUUAGCAGUUAGAGAGAACAGGUGACUAUUGGUUGAGAUCUUCAUUUAAAAAAACCCAAACAAACGCCUUGAACCAAAAAAAGGAGCUGGAUUUGUUUUGGUCCCAGAUCUGAAGUCUCUUAGAAAAUGUACAUUCAACGUUUUGGUCUUCCGUUAUCUUGAUAAAAGGUCAAGGUUCACUUCUGGGUUAAGGAAUCCAAGUAAACAAACGCUGGACGGUUGCUUAACGUCAACCUUCCUUUUCACACUCUCUCUCCGAUAUGCGUUGUCGACGGUUCACUGUUAUAUACUAAUGCAAAGCACUUGGUAUGUGAUUUAAGAGACUCCUUAUAAGCCCUCAAAGAUAGGUGCAGUUUUUUUUUUAUCUCAUUUAAA